AGUGAACGCUGGCGGUAGGCCUAACACAUGCAAGUCGAACGGCAGCACAGUAAGAGCUUGCUCUUACGGGUGGCGAGUGGCGGACGGGUGAGGAAUACAUCGGAAUCUACUUUUUCGUGGGGGAUAACGUAGGGAAACUUACGCUAAUACCGCAUACGACCUACGGGUGAAAGCAAGGGAUCUUCGGACCUUGCGCGAUUGAAUGAGCCGAUGUCGGAUUAGCUAGUUGGCGGGGUAAAGGCCCACCAAGGCGACGAUCCGUAGCUGGUCUGAGAGGAUGAUCAGCCACACUGGAACUGAGGCACGGUCCAGACUCCUACGGGAGGCAGCAGUGGGGAAUAUUGGACAAUGGGCGCAAGCCUGAUCCAGCCAUACCGCGUGGGUGAAGAAGGCCUUCGGGUUGUAAAGCCCUUUUGUUGGGAAAGAAAAGCAGCAGGUUAAUACCCCGCUGUUCUGACGGUACCCAAAGAAUAAGCACCGGCUAACUUCGUG
rnacentral:rRNA from 1 species